CAGCUGUGUACCCAGCUGCUACUGCAGGGAGCAGAAGAGGCACCCAGCUGAGCCUUGUCAGUCUCCGCCCAGGCGACACCCAAGAGAUGGGGAAGGCCGUCCGUCCUAACUUCUCUGCUGCUAGAGAGAGACGUGUGGCCACUGAGGGGGACAGAAGGCAUGAUGGAAUUCAGAGAAGAAGGUGUGAGCUGCCAGCGCCUGCUCCCCUCAGUGACUGAAGAGGAGCGUCCGUCCAGGAGCCUGCAGAGACCAGAAGAAGAC